UUUUGUUUACUAGAAUUGUCUCCAUUACACUUAAUUUGCUACCAACUUGAUCUUUAACCAUUGAGGUUAAUGGUUAUUUUAUUGAUGUGACAGCCAAUUUUUAUGAUUAUUUCUUGGUCCACAAAUGUCUUAACUCACCCCGCUCAACAUCUUUCAUCCUUUUUUCAAGUGUAUUUCAAUUAAAAUGAAACCUUCCCAGUGAUAAUGUUCAUUUCAACUUGUGAUUAGUGGAUAAAUGAAUUAAACAGUGCAGCAGAAGAUUAUUCAAUUGGACCCAAUUAAGCUUAAACUUGCUAUAAAUUAAAAGGGUCAACUUCAUGGUUGAAGUUGAUGUUUUUUUCUGUGUAA